UGAGCGACCGUGCUAAAAUCACAAAACCCGGGAAUGCCUAAGACCUUCUCCCGGUUUAACAAAAUUCUUUACCCGGAUUUCUAUGUUCACAGACUGUAAUACAGAGUCAAUCUUUUCCUCGAUUCGGGAUUUGAACCGAUGACUUGGGACACCAUAAAUAUCCCUAGUGGUGACUCUGAACUUAUUAAAUACAAUCCCGUUUCGAUUAUCAUUUAACUAGAAAAACUCCUUUAUACCUUUUUCCCGGGGGUAUAGGAAAAAGAAGGUGUGACAUAAGGUAGAAGAGACGUCGGGCAUGCAGACACCUGUAAGGCUUCCUCGGUGUCUCGAUGGACUGAAGGUUGACUCCUGAACUACUAUUGAAGAUCGAAUGCUGCUCCGGUAUCUGCACAGAGUGCAAAGUGUAGUAUCAGCACGACCGACCCUUAUGCUGGUAAGUGUCUGGCCUAACCCCAGCGAGCUAGUAACGAGACUAGGACCAGACUCCAGAUAGACCUGUGCAGUUAUAUGUAUAUACAACAAAAAAAUAGACUGGAACAACAAUUAAAGUUGGGAAGGGAAAACAUGCUUCAGGGGAUAAUAGAUAAGAACAGAAUCUUAAAAAGAUUAAUAAGAAAACCAAAAUUUAACUUCUAAUACAGCUAAGGAGGAUAAAGACAGGUUUCACUUUCAGUUCACAUCUUUAUGCAGGCGUGCAACCCGAUCCCAUUUCUCAUAUUUUG
rnacentral:lncRNA from 1 species